UGGCUCAGGAUGGAUGCUGGCGGCGUGGAUGAGGCAUGCAAGUCGUGCGGAUCUUGCGCGCAAGCGCAAGGUUAGCGGCAGACGAGUUCGUAACACGUAGAUACCACCCCUUCAGAUGAGGAUACCUUAGCGAAAGCUGAGUUAAUACUCAAUGGUCCCUGGGACGUAAAGUCCUAAGGGUAAAGCUGCAAAGCACUGAUGGACGGGUCUGCGGCCUAUCAGCUAGUUGGUGAGGUAAUGGCCCACCAAGGCUAUGACGGGUAGGGGGCGUGAGAGCGCGUUCCCCAACGAGGACACUGCGAUACGGGUCCUACACCUACGGGUGGCAGCAGUCGAGAAUAUUCCACAAUGGGCGAAAGCCUGAUGGAGCGACGCCGCGUGCGGGAUGAAGGCCUUCGGGUUGUAAACCGCUUUUGCAAGAGAUGAAGCCGCAAGGCUGACAGUAUCUUGAGAAUAAGGAGGUGCUAACUCUGUGCCAGCAGCAGCGGUAAAACAGAGCCUCCAAGCAUUAUCCGGAUUUAUUGGGCGUAAAGGGUCCGUAGCCGUCCUGUUAAGUUCUUUGUUAAAUCUCUAGGGCUUACCCUUAGAGCUGCAGGGAAAACUGGCAGGAUAGAGGGCGCUAAGGGCUGAUGGAAUUCUCGGUGGAGGGGUGAAAUCCGUUGAUAUCGAGGAGAACACCAAAAGCGAAGGCAUUCAGCUGGGGCGACCCUGACGGUGAGGGACGAAAGCGUGGGGGGCGAUAAGGAUUAGAUACCCUUGUAGUCCACGCCGUAAACGAUGGAUACUAGCUAUGUGAAGUGUCGACCCUUCACGUGGCGAAGCUAACGCGUUAAGUAUCCCGCCUGGGAAGUACGGUCGCAAGACUAAAACUCAAAGGAAUAGACGGGGAUCCACACAAGCGGUGGAACAUGUGGCUUAAUUCGUCAACAACCGAGGAACCUUACCAGGGCUUGACAGACUAGUGAAAGCUCGUAGAAAUACGAGCCCACCCACAAGGACACUAGUCCAGGUGCUGCACGGUUGUCGUCAGCAUGUACCUUGAGGCGCUCCGUUCAUUCGGGUAACAUGCGCAACCCCUAUCCUGUGUUUUACAUGUCACAGGAAACUGCGAGAGACAAUCUCGAGGAAGGUGGGGAUGACGCCAAAUCAGCGUGGCCCUUUGAUGUCCUGGGCGGCACACAUGUUACAAUGGAGUCGACAACGGGAUGCGAAUCCGCAAGGAAGAGCAAAUCCUUCAAACGACUCCUCAGUACGGAUUGGGGUCUGAAACCCGACCCCAUGAAGUUGGAAUCGCUAGUAAUCGCCAAUCAGCCAUGUGGCGAUGAAUAUGUUCCUGGAUCUUGUACUCACCGCCCGUCAAGCCAAGCGAGCUGGGAAUACCCGAAGCUCCCUGAUGAGGGGAAUCAAGGUAGGCUCAGUGAGAAGGGCUAAGUCGUAACAAGGCA
rnacentral:rRNA from 1 species